CCUACGGGGUGCAGCAGUGGGGAAUAUUGCACAAUGGGGGAAACCCUGAUGCAGCGACGUCGCGUGAGUGAAGAAGUAUCUCGGUAUGUAAAGCUCUGUCAGCAGGGAAGAAAAUGACGGUACCUGACCAAGAAGCCCCGGCUAACUACGUGCCAGCAGCCGCGGUAAUACGUAGGGGGCAAGCGUUAUCCGGAUUUACUGGGUGUAAAGGGAGCGUAGACGGCAGGGCAAGUCUGGAGUGAAAGGCGGGGGCUCAACCCCCGGACUGCUCUGGAAACUGCCAGGCUGGAGUGCAGGAGAGGUAAGUGGAAUUCCUAGUGUAGCGGUGAAAUGCGUAGAUAUUAGGAGGAACACCGGUGGCGAAGGCGGCUUACUGGACUGUAACUGACGUUGAGGCUCGAAAGCGUGGGGAGCGAACAGGAUUAGAUACCCCUGUAGUC
rnacentral:rRNA from 1 species